UCUUAUGGAUGAUCAAAGAAAGUAGUUUCUUGAGAUGGAAACUACUCCUGGUGAUGAUGCUGUGAA
rnacentral:pre_miRNA from 1 species